UUCGUUUCGACGCCUCGCCGCGUCUCUCCACCGUCUCUCCUCUCCGCGGCGCCCCCUGGCCGUGCCCCGACGCCCCCCUCCACAGGCCCCGCAUUCCUUUCUUCUCAUUCAACCUUUAUUCGCUGAAUAAAAAGUGUGUAGCUGGCUGGAGUAGAGUGUAGAGGCGGAGCGUAGCCGAGCGGCGUCUCCCGGACCUGGAGGCUGGAGUCCCAUCAUCAAGGGAUCCCAUCCCGACAGGUCUAGCCCACGGCCCGGCUGCCCUGGCUGCCCGGCCCACGCUCCAGCUAGCCUCCCAUACGCCAAAAGGGCCACCGCAUUCCUUUCCAGUGAUGCGGCCCUUCAGCCCUUCACUUGUCGAAGGAGGAAAAGCUUCCACGUCUGUGAGGACAUGUGAGGCAAGGGAUUUGAGGUUGCACCAGUUCCUUUGUGGUUGCUUGUCAGGGAGCUUUUUACCGGGCCGUUUGAUUCUAGCAGUGGUUUCGCUGGCCGUGCCGUGGGGCUCGCGGCUCCGGUCUGCCUCGCGAAGCUGGCCGCUACUGCCGCCGCCCGCCACCGCCGGAGAGGCCAUCUUGCCCACCUAACGGUCCGCCGCGCCACAUCGCAUUUCUGCCAAGCUUUGCGAGAUAGCCAACCUACCUGGCCGGCCGGGCGCAGCCGGGCGUACCGGCAGCGCAGCGCAGCGCUCAGCCUCACGGGCUGCACCACCACGGUGCACCGGAGGAAUGCUGCAGCUGAUCUAAUUCCUUAUGUGGCCGGGCUGUGCCGGGCUCGGGUACCCGGGGCCCUGGGAACGCCGUCCGGCCGGAGGAACGCCGCUACACGGCGUGGACGUCCAAACCCGUGCCACCCGCCAGGCCCGCCCUCUCAUGUUUACGCUGCAAAACGUGAUACAGUGCCAAAGGCAGAGGCAGGCUUUACUUGAGCCGCCUCUUAUCUGCAUGGACACGUCGAUAGGACACGUCCGAGGACGCCUUUGUCGUCGCUCGGAGCAGCAAUGCCCCUGGGAGGUAGGCAGCUCGCAGUGCCUCGCACCGACCGACCAAGGCCCAGGCCCCGCAACUUCGGACGAUCCAUCCUGAGUUUCGGUGACUGGAAUCAAUUUAUGAAUAGACAUUCCUAGCAGAAACCAGAGUGCAAUGGAAGAGAAAUAUCAUGAACCGAAAAUUGACGCCAAAUAUCGCAAGUUGUCUUUAACUCUGUGUUCAUUUACCGUUCAAAAAUGAAAGGAAACCUAAUUUUACGA